rnacentral:piRNA from 1 species
AAGGGAGAAUGCGUGUGUCUGGA